rnacentral:rRNA from 1 species
AGUCGUACGAGAGUUUUUAACUCUAGUGGCGGACGGGUGAGUAACACGUAAGAAUUUGCCUCUAGGAGGGGGACAACAAUUAGAAAUGAUUGCUAAUACCCCAUAUGCUUUCGAGUGAAAUGGAUUUUUCCGCCUAGAGAGAAGCUUGCGGCUGAUUAGCUUGUUGGUGAGGUAAUGGCUCACCAAGGCGACGAUCAGUAUCUGGUUUGAGAGGACGAUCAGACACACUGGAACUGAGACACGGUCCAGACUCCUACGGGAGGCAGCAGUGGGGAAUUUUCCGCAAUGGGCGAAAGCCUGACGGAGCAAUACCGCGUGAGGGAUGACGGCCUAUGGGUUGUAAACCUCUUUUUUCAGGGAGGAAUAAAUGACGUGUACCUGAAGAAUAAGCAUCGGCUAACUCCGUGCCAGCAGCCGCGGUAAGACGGAGGAUGCAAGUGUUAUCCGGAAUCACUGGGCGUAAAGCGUCUGUAGGUGGUCCAAUAAGUCAACUGUUAAAUCUUGAGGCUCAACCUCAAAAUCGCAGUCGAAACUAUUAGACUAGAGUAUAGUAGGGGUAAAGGGAAUUUCCAGUGGAGCGGUGAAAUGCGUAGAGAUUGGAAAGAACACCGAU